AUUGCCGUUGAAAGAACUAACAAGGAUUCCCCUAGUAACUGCGAGUGAAGCGGGAAAAGCUCAAAUUUAAAAUCUGGCGGUCUUUGGCUGUCCGAGUUGUAGUCUGGAGAAGUGUUUUCCGCGCUGGACCGUGUAUAAGUCUCUUGGAAUAGAGCGUCAUAGAGGGUGAGAAUCCCGUCUUUGACACGGACUACCAGUGCUUUGUGAUGCGCUCUCAAAGAGUCGAGUUGUUUGGGAAUGCAGCUCAAAAUGGGUGGUAAAUUCCAUCUAAAGCUAAAUAUUGGCGAGAGACCGAUAGCGAACAAGUACCGUGAGGGAAAGAUGAAAAGCACUUUGGAAAGAGAGUUAAACAGUACGUGAAAUUGCUGAAAGGGAAACGAUUGAAGUCAGUCGCGUUGGUUGGAACUCAGCUUGCUUUCCUUGGGUGCACUUUCUGAAUGGACCGGCCAGCAUCCAAUUCAGCGUGAAAAAGGCUUGGGGAAUGUGGCACCUUCGGUGUGUAAUAGCCUCUGGUCACAUACAACGGUUGGGAUUGAGGACCGCAGCGCGCCGUAAGGCAGGGGGUUUCCCACUUUCGCGCUUAGGAUGCUGGCAUAAUGGCUUUAAACGACCCGUCUUGAAACACGGACCAAGGAGUCUAACAUGCCUGCGAGUGUUUGGGUGGAAAACCCGAGCGCGUAAUGAAAGUGAAAGUUGAGACCUCUGUCAUGGAGGGCAUCGACGCCCGGACUUGAAGUUUUCUGAUGGAUCCGCGGUAGAGCAUGUAUGUUGGGACCCGAAAGAUGGUGAACUAUGCCUGAAUAGGGUGAAGCCAGAGGAAACUCUGGUGGAGGCUCGUAGCGAUUCUGACGUGCAAAUCGAUCGUCAAAUUUGGGUAUAGGGGCGAAAGACUAAUCGAACCAUCUAGUAGCUG
rnacentral:rRNA from 1 species